AAAUUGAAGAGUUUGAUCAUGGCUCAGAUUGAACGCUGGCGGCAGGCCUAACACAUGCAAGUCGAACGGUAACAGGAAGCAGCUUGCUGCUUUGCUGACGAGUGGCGGACGGGUGAGUAAUGUCUGGGAAACUGCCUGAUGGAGGGGGAUAACUACUGGAAACGGUAGCUAAUACCGCAUAACGUCGCAAGACCAAAGAGGGGGACCUUCGGGCCUCUUGCCAUCGGAUGUGCCCAGAUGGGAUUAGCUUGUUGGUGGGGUAACGGCUCACCAAGGCGACGAUCCCUAGCUGGUCUGAGAGGAUGACCAGCCACACUGGAACUGAGACACGGUCCAGACUCCUACGGGAGGCAGCAGUGGGGAAUAUUGCACAAUGGGCGCAAGCCUGAUGCAGCCAUGCCGCGUGUAUGAAGAAGGCCUUCGGGUUGUAAAGUACUUUCAGCGGGGAGGAAGGGAGUAAAGUUAAUACCUUUGCUCAUUGACGUUACCCGCAGAAGAAGCACCGGCUAACUCC
rnacentral:rRNA from 1 species